rnacentral:lncRNA from 1 species
UUAUCGUAGCGAUCUGCUGCAGACACCUCCAAUGCUUCAAAUCCUUUAAAGAUGUUGAUGAUGCUGAUGAUGAUAGUUGCGUAUCCGACACCCCAAUGGUAAAGGUUCCAGUAGAAUCUGAUUUUGUGAUCUUUCUUUGGCCUCAACAACAGAGCAAAAACCUGUAUACAGUAGCAGAAGUUUCUGUCAGUUUCAUUUCAAUUAUUAGUAGCAUAACAUAGCAACAACAUUUAAAAGAGGCAUAGCAGCAAGGUUUCAAAAACAAGUUCGACACCGCAAUCUUGCUGCAGCAUCAUUGCUUUUUUAUAUUUUCACAACAACAAUUGAAGUUGCAUCAGUCACAUUUACUAUGAUUCUCUGCAAUAUCAAUGAUUGCAAUAGUAUCCACAGCCACAAUUCAAAACCUUGGAUAUUAGUAGUUUAUAGUUUAAGAAACUACUCAUGAACAACAGUUGAAGUUGCGUCAACCAUAUUUGACUGUGAUUUUCUGCAAUAUCAAUUAUCGCGACACAACUGUAACAGUUACCGCGUAUGCAAUUUAAAAUAUUACAUGUAAACAAAUCAUGAACAUGUAAUUUCAUACCUGAAGGGUUCCAAGGCAGAAGAUGACGAUCCCGAGUGUUCUAUGAGUUGAAUAUGUAACACCAGCGGAGUCACUACCGAGCUUGAGACCAGUACCCCAUCCAGCAACACCAACUAUAUAGGCAGCAGAUUGGCAGGUAACAUGAAGGUAAAACCAAGCAGGGUCUGCAGACUUGAAAACCUUCAAG